rnacentral:rRNA from 1 species
UAAGUUCCCGGACCCGUUGUCACACACCGCCCGUCAAGCCAUGGAAGCUGGGUGUACCUAAAGUCGGUAACCGUAAGGAGCCGCCUAGGGUAAAACUAGUGACUGGGGCU